rnacentral:lncRNA from 1 species
AUGUCCUGUGCAUUCAAAAAAUGCCUUGUUACACUUUCAGGGCUGGCUCCUGCUCUUUUCCCAAUUCAGCUAAUGGUGUGGAAUUGUUAUAUCAGAAGCCAUGUUCCCAAAGCCAUCAAGAAUUCAGCUUCAGAUAUUGGAAGCAAGUUGAAUAGAAAGAGUGGUCAUGGACUAUUUUGGGAAAAGUGUACUCAGCAGAUGGACAUAGCAAUAAGAGCGAAUAUCCAGUCAGCCACCGAGGAACAGAAGAGCUGUAAUAAAUAUUAUUAAAGUCUGGCCUGCUAGGACCAAAAUUUUUGAUCUGAAUUAGCUUAAGAAGAAAAAUUAUCCAUCCCAUCUGCAGAACUGGUGCCUGACUGCUCUAACUUGCAUUUUGUAAAUCACAAACGGAAUUGUGUGCUAUGAGACCAGAACGAAACCAGAAUCAUCAUUUGUACUUGCAAAUGAAUUGGGAUUUUAUUUUUUUUCUUCUGUUGUGGAUUUAAAAAGAAAAUGACCAAAAUAAACUUUGAGUGGAAAAGCUAAUGACUUGUGAC